UCUCUGUUAUUUACACAUGUAAUGUUUUUGUUUCCUAGACUUAAACAUCUUGGUAAUUGCAGAAUUGCAGACGAUAGCUGCUGCAGAAUGAUAGUGUCCAGAGUCCUAACUGGUGCCUAGGAAGUGAGAGAAGUAACUACAUGGUCAGUAACAGCACAAAACCAUUUCCUCAUGGACAACACACAAGACAGGCGGUACCUAGAUCACAGCAACCUGCUGGUACCCAUCCCCAGGAGCUCUCUGUCCUCCUGGACUUUCUCCAGAAGCAUGGAAAUAAGUUCAGCCAGACAUUACUGAGGAGCAGCUCAGAAAUAUCCUGUGGACAGAAGGGAUAAGGGCAAGGUUACCAUUUGGGGGCUUUGGACACUUUCCCAUCUGUUGUCAAGUGUCUCCACCACACCAGUCCUAUGGUACAAGGACACUCAUGACUACCUCUGCCUGUGACAGUAGUGCUUAUCUUUCAAGACGUGGUCCAUGGGAAGCGGAGUGCUAUGAGACUGUUUACUCACUGAAUUUACUGUUUAGCUCAUGAAAGCCUGAUGCUGGGAUCCUCAGGGCAGUCUGAGGCAGGGAGAAGCAGAUGAUGAUGUACUAUCUUCUCUAUCCAGAGCUCUGGCCGUCUCAGCUCAGCACCCACAUUUGCUUGGGAUCAUGGUGGACUACACAUUCAUGAAACAUUUUGGUUCAAUUUGAAUCUAUUUUCUCUAAUUGUUAAAAAUUUCUAACCAGAAUGGCAUCUGUUGACAGAUGAUAAUAGCUGCCCAGAACUGAAACAAAUACUUACUGAAAUCUUUAGUUAAAAUGUCAGUGACUGCCAGUUUUAAAUACACACUUUUAUUCAUGAAAAUUGUUGUUAUAUGAGUUACAAUCAAGUCUUAAUAUGCUCAACUUAGAACAAAAAAUAGUGAAAAACACAUUUCAAGCUAUUGCUUGGACUGCAGCCUAAUACAUCUUAACUAUAAUAAUUACUUUCUCUGAAUAGAUUUGGUAACACAAGAAACACUCUACUAAAUUUUAUGAAGGAAAAAAUAGAAAUAAAGGACAGACUUUUUUCGUACUA